UACAUGUGGGGCAAGCGUUGUUCGGAAUUACUGGGCAUAAAGGAUGCGUAGGUGGUUUGUUAAGUCACUGGUGAAAGUUUUCGGCCCAACCGGAAAAUUGCCUGUGAUACUGGCGAACUUGAGUGCGUGAGGGGUGGGGGGAACGAGCAGUGUAGCGGUGAAAUGCGUAGAUAUUGCUCGGAAGGCCGGAGCCGAAGGGGCCCCACUGGUACGUAACUGACGCUGAGGCACGAAAGCGUGGGGAGCAAACAGG
rnacentral:rRNA from 1 species